rnacentral:rRNA from 1 species
AUACGGAGGGUGCAAGCGUUAUCCGGAAUCAUUGGGUUGAAAGGGUCCGUAGGCGGACUAUUAGGUCAGAGGUGAAAUCCCACAGCUCAACUGUGGAACUGCCUUUGAUACUGGUAGUCUUGAGUUAUAUGGAAGUAGAUAGAAUGUGUAGUGUAGCGGUGAAAUGCAUAGAUAUUACACAGAAUACCGAUUGCGAAGGCAGUCUACUACGUAUAUACUGACGCUAAGGGACGAAAGCGUGGGGAGCGAACAGGAUUAGAAACCCCAGUAGUCC